rnacentral:tRNA from 1 species
UUUACAAAACGAUAGUUUGAUUUUACAAUGAAAAUGUAAUGUUUUGUUUAAACUACAUAAAUAGAAAU